rnacentral:SRP_RNA from 1 species
AGCUGUAAUGGCUCAACUGGCGAAACUCGUUCUUUCUACGAGUCCCUAUCAAAUGAUAGCCUGCGCCCCGUUGAAUCUUUGUGAAGGUCGUCCACUCGCUUCGGUAACGAGCGAUCUGCUGGCGCGGCCCUAAGCUUCUGAGAUAUCCUUCAGCCGAGCAAUCGGGCAGAGAAUUUCAGGUCAUGGAGAGGUCAUAUGGGAUUACGCGUGUUGUUGUUGGGAUGAACUGGAGAUUUGGGACGGGUGACGCUUUUU